GUUGUCAUGCCAAUGGCACUGCCCGGUAGCUAAAUGCGGAAGAGAUAAGUGCUGAAAGCAUCUAAGCACGAAACUUGCCCCGAGAUGAGUUCUCCCUGAGACUUUAAGUCUCCUGAAGGAACGUUGAAGACGACGACGUUGAUAGGCCGGGUGUGUAAGCGCAGCGAUGCGUUGAGCUAACCGGUACUAAUGAACCGUGAGGCUUAACCUUACAACGCCGAAG
rnacentral:rRNA from 2 species